UACGGGGGGGGCAAGCGUUGUUCGGAAUUACUGGGCGUAAAGGGCUCGUAGGUGGCCAACUAAGUCAGACGUGAAAUCCCCAGGCUCAACUUGGGAACUGCGUCUGAUACUGGAUGGCUUGAAUUCGGGAGAGGGAUGCAGAAUUCCAGGUGUAGCGGUGAAAUGCGUAGAUAUCUGGAGGAAUACCGAUGGCGAAGGCAGCCCCCUGGGAUAAUACUGACGCUCAGGCACGAAAGCGUGGGGAGCAAACAGG
rnacentral:rRNA from 1 species